GAUGAACGCUGGCGGCGUGCCUAAUACAUGCAAGUCGAGCGAACGGACGAGAAGCUUGCUUCUCUGAUGUUAGCGGCGGACGGGUGAGUAACACGUGGAUAACCUACCUAUAAGACUGGGAUAACUUCGGGAAACCGGAGCUAAUACCGGAUAAUAUUUUGAACCGCAUGGUUCAAAAGUGAAAGACGGUCUUGCUGUCACUUAUAGAUGGAUCCGCGCUGCAUUAGCGAGUUGGUAAGGUAACGGCUUACCAAGGCAACGAUGCAUAGCCGACCUGAGAGGGUGAUCGGCCACACUGGAACUGGGACACGGUCCAGACUCCUACGGGAGGCAGCAGUAGGGAAUCUUCCGCAAUGGGCGAAAGCCUGACGGAGCAACGCCGCGUGAGUGAUGAAGGUCUUCGGAUCGUAAAACUCUGUUAUUAGGGAAGAACAUAUGUGUAAGUAACUGUGCACAUCUUGACGGUACCUAAUCAGAAAGCCACGGCUAACUACGUGCCAGCAGCCGCGGUAAUACGUAGGUGGCAAGCGUUAUCCGGAAUUAUUGGGCGUAAAGCGCGCGUAGGCGGUUUUUUAAGUCUGAUGUGAAAGCCCACGGCUCAACCGUGGAGGGUCAUUGGAAACUGGAAAACUUGAGUGCAGAAGAGGAAAGUGGAAUUCCAUGUGUAGCGGUGAAAUGCGCAGAGAUAUGGAGGAACACCAGUGGCGAAGGCGACUUUCUGGUCUGUAACUGACGCUGAUGUGCGAAAGCGUGGGGAUCAAACAGGAUUAGAUACCCUGGUAGUCCACGCCGUAAACGAUGAGUGCUAAGUGUUAGGGGGUUUCCGCCCCUUAGUGCUGCAGCUAACGCAUUAAGCACUCCGCCUGGGGAGUACGACCGCAAGGUUGAAACUCAAAGGAAUUGACGGGGACCCGCACAAGCGGUGGAGCAUGUGGUUUAAUUCGAAGCAACGCGAAGAACCUUACCAAAUCUUGACAUCCUUUGACAACUCUAGAGAUAGAGCCUUCCCCUUCGGGGGGCAAAGUGACAGGUGGUGCAUGGUUGUCGUCAGCUCGUGUCGUGAGAUGUUGGGUUAAGUCCCGCAACGAGCGCAACCCUUAAGCUUAGUUGCCAUCAUUAAGUUGGGCACUCUAAGUUGACUGCCGGUGACAAACCGGAGGAAGGUGGGGAUGACGUCAAAUCAUCAUGCCCCUUAUGAUUUGGGCUACACACGUGCUACAAUGGACAAUACAAAGGGCAGCGAAACCGCGAGGUCAAGCAAAUCCCAUAAAGUUGUUCUCAGUUCGGAUUGUAGUCUGCAACUCGACUACAUGAAGCUGGAAUCGCUAGUAAUCGUAGAUCAGCAUGCUACGGUGAAUACGUUCCCGGGUCU
rnacentral:rRNA from 1 species